rnacentral:tRNA from 1 species
GACGCAGUGGUGCAGUGGGUAGCACGUUUGCUUUAAAGCAAGAAGGUCGCUGGUUCGAACCUUGGCAGGGUCA